UACGAAAGGAGCGGGUGUUAUUCGGAUUAACUGGGCGUAAAGGGCAUGUAGGUGGUUUGCUUUGUGUAUUAUAAAAGAUUAAAGCAUAACUUUAAGAUGUAAUAUAAACAGCUAAACUAGAGUUAGAUAGGGGGUAGUAGAAUUUCUAAUGUAGAGGUGAAAUUUGUUAAAAUUAGAAGGAAUACCAAUGGCGUAGGCAACUAUCUGGGUCUUAACUGACAUUGAGGUGCGAAGGCGUGGGGAGCAAAUAGG
rnacentral:rRNA from 1 species